CCUACGGGAGGCAGCAGUGAGGAAUAUUGGUCAAUGGACGAGAGUCUGAACCAGCCAAGUAGCGUGAAGGAUGACUGCCCUAUGGGUUGUAAACUUCUUUUAUAUGGGAAUAAAAUGUUCCACGUGUGGGAUUUUGUAUGUACCAUAUGAAUAAGGAUCGGCUAACUCCGUGCCAGCAGCCGCGUUAAUACGGAGGAUCCGAGCGUUAUCCGGAUGUAUGGGGUUUAAAGGGAGCGUAGGUGGAUUGUUAAGUCAGUUGUGAAAGUUUGCGGCUCAACCGUAAAAUUGCAGUUGAAACUGGCAGUCGUGAGUACAGUAGAGGUGGGCGGAAUUCGUGAUGUAGCGGUGAAAUGCUUAGAUAUCACGAAGAACUCCGAUUGCGAAGGCAGCUCACUGGACUGCAACUGACACUGAGGCUCGAAAGUGUGGGUAUCAAACAGGAUUAGAUACCCUUGUAGUC
rnacentral:rRNA from 1 species